GGGGGCGACCUGGAUUCGACCGGGCAGUGGAAGUGUAGGGUUGCAUGUCGUGGUUUGUCAGCAUGCCACGUAAAAAGCCGACAAAAAAACAAAUGCCAAUAAUAAUAACUUGGUAAUGGCUGCCUAAGAAAAGGCUCCCCGACUGAGAAUCCGUGACGGACGGAGUUGAAAGUCGCGUAUAAAAGUCUGUCUCGUUUCGGUUCACUGGAGGUACGUCCGAAAUUAAAAUUGGUUCCUACCUGGUUCUUCACACACCCUGUCGGUUGGGGGUGGGGAGGACGAGAUUUUUAAUAAUCGACUACACAUGUAGAAGCUCACAUGGAAAUGUCGCGGGACGCGGGUUCGAUACCCGCCGCCUCCAAUU
rnacentral:tmRNA from 1 species